AUUGAACGCUGGCGGCAGGCAUAACACAUGCAAGUCGAACGAGUGGCGGACGGGUGAGUAAUGUCUGGGAAACUGCCGGAUGGAGGGGGAGAACUACUGGAAAAGGUAGCUAAUACCGCAUACCCACAGAUGUGCCCAGAUGGGCUUAGCUUGUUGGUGGGUUAACGGCUCACAAAGGCGACGAUCCCUAGCUGGUCUGAGAGGAUGACCAGCCACACUGUACCUGAGACACGGUCCAGCCUCCUACGGGAGGCAGCAGUGGGGAAUAUUGCACAAGGGGCGCAAGCCUGAUGCAGCCAUGCCGGGUGUAUGAAGAAGGCCUUCGGGUUUUAAAGUUCUUUCAGCGGGGAGGCGUUACCCGCAGAAGAAGCACCGGCUAACUCCGUGCCAGCAGCCGCGGUAAUUC
rnacentral:rRNA from 1 species